UACGUAGGGUGCAAGCGUUAUCCGGAAUUAUUGGGCGUAAAGAGCUCGUAGGCGGUUUCUUAAGUCAGAUAUGAAAGAUCUAGGCUCAACCUAGGGAACGUAUCUGAAACUGGGAAACUCUAGAGGUAUGCAGGGGCAGAUGGAACACAAGGUGUAGCAGUGAAAUGCGUAGAUAUCUUGUGGAACGCCAAUGGUGAAGACAGUCUGCUGGGCAUUACCUGACGCUGAGGAGCGAAAGCGUGGGG
rnacentral:rRNA from 1 species